CGGGUGAGUAAUAUAUCGGAACGUGCCCAGUAAUGGGGGAUAGCCCGGCGAAAGCCGGAUUAAUACCGCAUACGACCUAUGGGUGAAAGCGGGGGAUCGCAAGACCUCGCGUUAUUGGAGCGGCCGAUAUCAGAUUAGCUUGUUGGUGGGGUAAAAGCCUACCAAGGCGACGAUCUGUAGCUGGUCUGAGAGGACGACCAGCCACACUGGGACUGAGACACGGCCCAG
rnacentral:rRNA from 1 species